GGGCGCUUAGCUCAGCUGGUAGAGCACUGUCUUCACACGGCAGGGGUCACAGGUUCGAGUCCUGUAGCGCCUACCA
rnacentral:tRNA from 1 species